CACUUUGCUUUUUUUUUUUUGUAGUCGAUCUAUCCAACAAGCCCGGCCGGAGGUUUAAACUUAUCAAAUCACGUGAAAAGAUAGCUCGCCGACGCUGACGCAGUCCGGAAACGCGUCGCCCAGACGCCCACACAUCCAUCCACAACGGUAAAGCCGCCGCGGCGAUGUCUUCCGCACCCCCGCCUCCGCCGUCUCUGAACCCCGAAGUGCCCCCGCGCAUCGUCCGCGCCCCCCCGCGCCGGCCUCCUCCGCGCGCGCCCGGUCCGCCGCCUUGGGCGGAGCGUCGGCCUGCCGUGUCCGUCGACCUCGACCGCGGCCGUCGCUCGGUCCGCACCGAGGUGGACGGCGUCCGCGCCGCGUCGCUCCCUGCGCGACACCGCCUCCGCGUGGAGGGCAACCGGUGGCAGCGGGACUGGAAGGUGUCCGAGGUCGUCGCGCGCUUGCUCGCGCUGCCUCAUGCCGACGCGGACGCCGUCGACGCCGUGCUCAACUGCUGGGCCGGUCGCUUCGCACGCCGCAACUUCCCGCUGCUCAUCAGAGAAAUUGCAAUUUCUGGAUCCUUGAAACAUGCUGUGCAUGUGUUCCGCUGGAUGAAAAAUCAGGAGAACUACUGUGCUCGCAAUGACAUUUAUGGCAUGAUGAUUAGGUUACAUGCUAGACACAACAAGGUUGAUCAAGCACGUGGCCUGUUCUUUGAGAUGCAAGAAUGGCGGUGCAAGCCUAAUACUGAUACAUACAACUCUUUGAUCCAUGCUCAUGCUCGAGCUGGCCAGUGGUGUUGGGCCAUCAACAUUAUGGAUGAUAUGCAACGUGCCGCUAUACCUCCUAGCCGAACUACGUAUAAUAAUGUUAUAAAUGCAUGUGGAGCUGCUGGUAACUGGAAGAAAGCUUUAGAACUUUGUAAGAAGAUGACUGAAAAUGGUGUAGGGCCAGAUUUGAUCACACACAACAUUGUUUUGUCUGCUUUUAAGAAUGGAGCUCAGUACUCAAAAGCCAUAGCUUACUUUGAAAUUAUGAAAUCCUCUAAAGUUGCCCCUGAUACAUGCACUAUGAAUAUUGUGAUCCAUUGCCUUGUAAAGAUUGGGCUGUAUGGGGAAGCUAUUGAGUUGUUUAACUCAAUGAGGGAAAGAAGAACAACAUGUCAUCCAGAUGUCGUUACAUAUACUAGCAUAAUGUAUUCUUAUUCUGUUUGUGGGCAAGCUGAAAAUUGCAAGGCGGUCUUUGAUAUAAUGGUUGCUGAAGGUGUCAGACCUAAUAUUGUAUCCUACAAUGCACUUUUGGGUGCUUACGCCUCACAUGGUAUGCACACAGAGGCCUUGGAGACUUUUAAAUUACUGAAGCAAAAUGGGUUGAGACCUGAUAUAGUUUCCUAUACCUCCUUACUUAAUGCUUAUGGUAGAUCUGCACAGCCUGAGAAAGCUAGGGAGGUCUUUAAUGAAAUGAGGAAGAAUGCAUGCAAGCCAAAUAAAGUCAGUUACAAUGCACUUAUUGAUGCUUAUGGAUCUGCUGGAAUGUUGAAGGAAGCGAUUAGUCUGUUGCAUGAAAUGGAGCAAGAUGGCAUUCAACCGGAUGUUAUUUCAAUAAGUACUCUGUUAACAGCAUGUGGCCGCUGCAAGCAGCUAACUAAAAUUGACAUAAUUCUUGCAGCAGCUAAGUCUCGAGGGAUCCAACUAAAUACAGUUGCUUACAACUCAGGCAUCGGAAGUUAUUUAAGUUUGGGAGAUUAUAAGAAAGCUUUGGUGUUAUACACGUCAAUGAGGGCAGGCAAUGUGAAGCCAGAUGCUGUGACUUACAAUAUACUCAUUAGUGGAUCUUGUAAAUUGGGAAGGUAUGUAGAGUCUCUGAAAUUUUUUGAAGACAUGCUGGACCUGAAUAUUCAUUUGACCAAGGAAGUCUACUCAUCCGUGAUUUGCUCAUAUGUCAAACAGGGCAAAUUAACUGAAGCAGCAUCUACUUUUAAUUCUAUGAAAGAAACUGGUUGCUUCCCCGAUGUUUUGACAUAUACGACAUUAAUUAAAGCAUAUAGUGAUGAUGGGAGCUGGAGGAGAGCAUGGGACCUAUUCAAAGAGAUGGAAAAUAAUGGCACACAGCCAGAUGCUAUUGUCUGUUCAUCCCUCAUGGAAGCAUUGAAUAAGGGAGGUCAACCUGAAAGGGUCCUUCAGUUGAUAGAAUUCAUGAAGCAAAAAAAGAUUCAAUUGAACCAAAAGGCUUAUUUUGAGAUAAUAUCUUCAUGCACCAUGUUACGAGACUGGAAAACAGCAAGUCAAAUAAUUGAACAUUUGGAUUCCUCUCUCUCAUCUAUUUCUUUUGGCACACUCAACCAUAUUUUAAAUUUUCUUGGAAAAUGUGGCAGGACAGAGAGCAUGAUGAAGCUGUUCUAUAAGAUGGUGACUUCAUGCUCUACUGUGGGCCUUUCUACUUAUACGAUUCUGCUGAGAAAUCUCUUAAUUGUGGGGAAAUGGAGAAAGUAUGUUGAGGUUUUGCAGUGGAUGGAAGAUGCUGGAGUCUGCCCAACACUCUAUAUGUAUCAAAGCGUGCUUCCAUAUAUCUGGAGAGACAACAGUAUGGACUAUGUUACUCUCAUGCAAGAAAAAAUAAAUGCAUUGAGAGAGAAGGUAACAUGAGCUUCAGAUAUGCAUUUGCUCGCUUGGUAUGAACUAUGAAGUACUAGAAGUCCAUAACCGAAUACUGAAGGUAGCUUUAGAAUGACACUAGCAGGAUUCAGGUAGGACAUAAUUGUGAGUCUGCCUGCCCUAGUCGGGAUUGAAGCAACGAAUCCCUCUUCAGAAAAAAAAAUGGAUAUGGCACUUCAAGAACUUAAGAAACGACAUGAUUCUAUAGUUGAUAAAAGGUAAGUCACAUGUGAAAAGAAUGACCUCAUGAGUCAUUUGCUAUGGCUUCUAAUGAUCACAGAAAUUGGGCCAUUUGUUGCUCGUAUAGCUUGGCUUAGAAAAAACCAUGUUACUCUCGUAGUUCGAACUCAUCUUUUUUCUACGACAUUCUAAUUUAUCAAUGCCUUGGAAAUAAACAGCUUUCCCAUCUAGUGUUAUGGGGCGCGUUUGUUUGCCCGGACGUAGUCUGCUCGAACAGGAAGGGAAGGUGACUAGGUGAGAGCCGGUCAGACCGUGUUUGUUUGUCUCAACAGCUCCCCCACGCAGCAUAGGCAGGGGAAAAUGCUCAAACCGUUCUCUCUUUUUGAAGAAAACAAGUACACCAGCACAUUUGUAGAGCAUCAACCAACAAUCCAACAUAUUACAAAGUUUCAAAGUACAAUUUAGUUUACUAAUUUGGUUCACAUCACUCAUAAGUACGGCCCUAGAAUUGUUUUACUCCACUAACGUACCCUACAAUUGUUUAACUUGACCAACCUCAACUAUAUGACGAUGCUUUUUUUUAGCUGGCCUAUUUUGUUGGUGCACGUAAGGGCAUGAUACAUGAUGGGUGAUGCCAAUUUUUGAAAAAAAACUAUGAAGCUUUUGCUAUUCGCCUCCCUAAUCUUGAUUAUGGUGAUUUUUCUGUCAAAAAGAUGAUCAACAAGGUUUGAGAGUUCAACAAAUUUAUGAAAGACUUCAGACUUAAACUUUAAAGAAUAAAUUCGUGAGAGUUUACUGUAAUCGUCAAUGAGGCUCACAAAGUAUUGUUUGUCUCCAAGAGAUUUAGGAGCAUCCCCCAAACAUCAAAAUAUACAAGUUUUAGAUGAUGACUCAAAACACUAUUAAAUUUGAAAUAAGGCAAUUGAUGACAUUUGCCUUUUUAACAAGUAUCACAUACGAUAUUAAUUAUUAUUGGACUCUUUAGAACAUGAUAAAUUAAAGUUAUUGAUAAUUUUUUACUAUAGGAGUUGAUGGGUGACCAAGAUGACUAUGCUACCGUGCUACGGAUUUACUGACUGCAAAGGCCUACUUGAGCGAAUUCAAUAGUAGGGGAUAUAUCAUUGUGAAACCGUCCUCUAAGUAGAGGUCUCCUAAUGACCUAAUCCUUGAUAAAAAAAAUACUCCCUCCAUUCAUAAAUAUAUGACAACAUUGACUUUAAAAAAACUUUGACUACCCAUAUUAUUCAAAAAAAUAAUAAGUUAUUAUUUUUUGUGAUUUGUUUUAUUAUUUAAGAUAGUUUGUGCUUGACUUAAAAUUUUAUAUUUUUGAAUAAAUAUUUUAAAUAUAAGACGAGUGGUCAAAAUUUUUAAAAAAGUCAAUGGUAUCAUACAUUUGUGAAUGGAGGUAGUAGUUAGGAUAAUAUUCAAGAAAAGCUAAGUUAUGGGAGAAGCUAAUUUAUGAAUAGAGAUAAGAUUAUUUUGUGACUUCAGAAACAUACCAUGUGUUUGGUUACCUGCGUCUGUCGAGUUUCUGUAGCCGCGGAUUCCCAAAGCACCUUUUGUUUGUUUUCCUGCAUAACACAACCGGGCUCUAAACAUGCAAAAAUCGUUUCUCAGCCAGGCUGGUCAGAUACGCGCACGAGGAGUGUAGCUGGUGGAGCAGGCCGCGUGCAUACAACCUUGGUCUGGCAUGUAUUCCUAGAACACUUUUUAUUUUGUUUUUCCAUCGUAUAUUUUAAUUGAAAUGUAUAUUUUAAUUAAAAUGUUCAAUCACUAAACCAAUUUUAGAUCUGUGUUCUUGAUAUUUUUACGAACAAAACUAGACUACACUUGCUAUAUAAAUUUUAAAGAUUUAUUUAUUUAUUUAUUUUA